GGGAGCUUGGGGCCUUUUGGAAAACAUCUGGAAACAGCACAUCUCCUGCUUCAAACAUCACAAAUCAAUGACAGCCUCCCAGGGAGAUUUACCGUCUUUGUCCUCCGUCCUGACAACCAGGUGGUCACACAAUCAGCAAACCAGCUACAGUUACAGAUACGACAAUCUUCUAAACGACUGCCGUGAAAUAAAGGAUGAGCUGCACUCGAGGACCUUAGCGCAUCUGUCAG